UCCUUCUGAGGGUUGUACCUGGAGAAUUCCCAGUACUCUACCAGUCUCUACUAUGGAGGGAGAGUCAGGCAGAGGCAUAUCCAUUCUAUUCCUAGCUUGGGCAGUGGCUAGAGAGUGGAAGGCAAUCUGCUACAAGU